GAUGAAGAACGUAGCGAAAUGCGAUAAGUAAUGUGAAUUGCAGAAUUCAGUGAAUCAUCGAAUCUUUGAACGCACAUUGCCCCCGCCAGUAUUCUGGCGGGCAUGCCUGUUCGAGCGUCAUUACAACCCUCAGGCCCCCGGGCCUGGCGUUGGGGAUCGGCGGAAGCCCCCUGCGGGCACAACGCCGUCCCCCAAAUACAGUGGCGGUCCCGCCGCAGCUUCCAUUGCGUAGUAGCUAACACCUCGCAACUGGAGAGCGGCGCGGCCACGCCGUAAAACACCCAACUUCUGAAUGUUGACCUCGAAUCAGGUAGGAAUACCCGCUGAACUUAAGCAUAUCAAUAAGCGGAGGA
rnacentral:misc_RNA from 1 species